AGUGAACGCUGGCGGUAGGCCUAACACAUGCAAGUCGAACGGCAGCACAGUAAGAGCUUGCUCUUACGGGUGGCGAGUGGCGGACGGGUGAGGAAUACAUCGGAAUCUACUUUUUCGUGGGGGAUAACGUAGGGAAACUUACGCUAAUACCGCAUACGACCUACGGGUGAAAGCAGGGGAUCUUCGGACCUUGCGCGAUUGAAUGAGCCGAUGUCGGAUUAGCUAGUUGGCGGGGUAAAGGCCCACCAAGGCGACGAUCCGUAGCUGGUCUGAGAGGAUGAUCAGCCACACAGGAACUGAGACACGGUCCAGACUCCUACGGGAGGCAGCAGUGGGGAAUAUUGGACAAUGGGCGCAAGCCUGAUCCAGCCAUACCGCGUGGGUGAAGAAGGCCUUCGGGUUGUAAAGCCCUUUUGUUGGGAAAGAAAAGCAGCAGGUUAAUACCCCGCUGUUCUGACGGUACCCAAAGAAUAAGCACCGGCUAACUUCGUA
rnacentral:rRNA from 1 species